AGAAAGGAAUUGACAAUAUUGGACAUACCAGAGAACACAGAGGUUAACGUCAGAAAAGCAGUACAAUUGCUUUCUUUAAGUGGUGGUCAAUGUCAUGUUCACUGCAGCUGUCGGGGUGGCUGUAAAACAGGCAAAUGUAAAUGCAAAAAAAAAUGAACUUAUUGUGUAAUUCAAGAUUCCAUGCUUCCUUGUCUUGUGCAAACAAAUAGGUUUUUUAAUCCAUUAAGCUUGACUUAUAUUUCCAAUGUAUGAUAUUAUGUAUGCAAUUUUUCGUCAUGAUGUAUGUUUAAACAUAAAUGAAUGGAGGGUACCAAUUUAUUUUUGCUUUUAACGACCAUGUCACUUUGUACCAGAAGUCCG
rnacentral:lncRNA from 1 species